GCAAUAAAUUGGAAGUCUAGGGUUUUACAAGCUUUACCCGUUCCAUCUCCUCCAACCCUAGUUCAGAGCGGCCGUAGCUUCCCUCCUCUCCUCUCAAUCUCUGAAGAAUGGAGUCUCAGAUCAAGCAUGCUAUUGUGGUGAAGGUUAUGGGUCGUACUGGAUCCAGAGGACAAGUGACUCAGGUGCGGGUCAAGUUUAUUGAUGACCAGAACAGGUUUAUCAUGAGGAAUGUCAAGGGACCAGUCAGAGAGGGUGAUGUGCUCACUCUGCUGGAGUCCGAGAGGGAAGCCAGGAGGUUGCGCUGAUCGAUUGCCUUGCUAUAUAUCUUGAUUGCAUCUUGAAAGGGCGUUAAAUACGCAGAAUGUAUUAUCAGUUUUGGUGCACUACUUAAUAGCUUUCUUGGAUUAUGGCAGUUUGUUAAAUUUGGACAAAUGCGUGACUUUAUUUAAUGGAUUUGAUAUGAUUGAAUCUGUUUGAUUAAAUGUUGUGA